rnacentral:rRNA from 1 species
UAUCUUCAAACUUUGACCUCAAAUCAGGUAGGACUACCCGCUGAACUUAAGCAUAU